UACGUAGGGGGCAAGCGUUGUCCGGAAUCAUUGGGCGUAAAGCGCGUGUAGGCGGCUUGGUAAGUCCGCUCUGAAAGCCCGGGGCUCAACCCCGGGAGGCGGGUGGAUACUGUCAAGCUCGAGUCCGGAAGAGGCGAGUGGAAUUCCCGGUGUAGCGGUGAAAUGCGCAGAUAUCGGGAGGAACACCAAUGGCGAAGGCAGCUCGCUGGGACGUGACUGACGCUGAGACGCGAAAGCGUGGGGAGCAAACAGG
rnacentral:rRNA from 1 species